UUUGGAACACACAGAAAUUCACAGAGUUGGGUAGAGUAGAGAGGGGUUAGGGAGGAGACACAGGCGACCUAGUGGAGAAAAAGGAGAGUCCAAAGGGAGAGAGAGCAGUUAAGCCAGUAAUCUCGCUCCCUAGUGAAAAAUGGGUACUGAAGAUUGGGUUCUUAAAGGUACAAAAUUGGUAACAAAUACAUAAAAGCAAAAAUUUAAAAUCUAGAGUAGAGUUUGGAAUUUCAAGAAUAUGAUGUUAAAGAAAAGAAGAAGGAAAAGAAAGAGAGAAAAAACGAACAAACAAAAACAAACAAGGUCGCAAAAAUUAUAAAGAAAAUAUAGGUACAAAAUUGAUAACUAAUACCAAAAAGCAAAAGUUAAAAAUCUAGAGUAGAGUUUGGAAUUUCAAAAAUACAAUGUUAAAGAAAAGAAGGAAAAAGAAAAAAAAAAAGAGAAAAAACGAACAAACAAAAACAAACAAGGUCGCAAAAAUUAUAAAGAAAAUAUAGGUACAAAAUUGAUAACUAAUACCAAAAAGCAAAAGUUAAAAAUCUAGAGUAGAGUUUGGAAUUUCAAAAAUACAAUGUUAAAAAAAGAAGAAGAAAAAUAAAGAGAAAAAAAACCAAACAAGAACAAACAAGGUCGCAAAAAUUAUAAAGAAAAUAUAGGUACAAAAUUGAUAACUAAUACCAAAAAGCAAAAGUUAAAAAUCUACAGUAGAGUUUGGAAUUUCAAAAAUACAAUGUUAAAAAAAAGAAGAAGAAAAAGAAAGAGAGAGAAAAAAAACAAAAGCAA
ensembl:lncRNA